UACGUAGGGGGCAAGCGUUGUCCGGAAUCAUUGGGCGUAAAGAGCGUGUAGGCGGCCAGAUAAGUCCGCUGUGAAAUCUCGAGGCUCAACUUCGAGCUGUCGGUGGAAACUGUCUGGCUAGAGUCCGGAAGAGGAGAAUGGAAUUCCUGGUGUAGCGGUGAAAUGCGCAGAUAUCAGGAAGAACACCCGUGGCGAAGGCGGCAUCCUGGACCGGCAUUGACGCUGAGGCGCGAAAGCUAGGGGAGCAAACGGG
rnacentral:rRNA from 1 species